GAUGAACGCUGGCGGCGUGCUUAACACAUGCAAGUCGAACGAAGCACUUGGAUCUCUUCGGAGUGAUGAGUGACUGAGUGGCGGACGGGUGAGUAACGCGUGGGUAACCUGCCUCGUACAGGGGGACAACAGUUGGAAACGACUGCUAAUACCGCAUAAGCGCACAGUAUCGCAUGAUACAGUGUGAAAAGCUGAGGCGGUACGAGAUGGACCCGCGUUGGAUUAGCUAGUUGGUGGGGUAACGGCCUACCAAGGCGACGAUCCAUAGCCGACCUGAGAGGGUGACCGGCCACAUUGGGACUGAGACACGGCCCAAACUCCUACGGGAGGCAGCAGUGGGGAAUAUUGCACAAUGGGCGAAAGCUUGAUGCAGCGACGCCGCGUGAGCGAUGAAGUAUUUCGGUAUGUAAAGCUCUAUCAGCAGGGAAGAAAAUGACGGUACCUGACUAAGAAGCUCCGGCUAAAUACGUGCCAGCCGCCGCCGUAACAC
rnacentral:rRNA from 1 species